rnacentral:rRNA from 1 species
GAGUUGUGUUGGUAAAUUUCUAGCUUGCUAGAAGAUGACGAGCGGCGGACGGGUGAGAAAAGCUUGGGAAUAUGCCUUAUGGUGGGGGACAACAGUUGGAAACUACUGCUAAUACCGCAUAACGUCUACGGACCAAAGGGGGGGAUCUUCGGACCUCCCGCCAUUUGAUUAGCCCAAGUGAGAUUAGCUAGUUGGUAAGGUAAUGGCUUACCAAGGCGACGAUCUCUAGCUGGUUUGAGAGGAUGAUCAGCCACACUGGGACUGAGACACGGCCCAGACUCCUACGGGAGGCAGCAGUGGGGAAUAUUGCACAAUGGGCGAAAGCCUGAUGCAGCCAUGCCGCGUGUGUGAAGAAGGCCUUCGGGUUGUAAAGCACUUUCAGUAAGGAGGAAAGGGUAGUCGUUAAUAGCGGCUAUCUGUGACGUUACUUACAGAAGAAGCACCGGCUAACUUCGUGCCAGCAGCCGCGGUAAUACGAGGGGUGCAAGCGUUAAUCGGAAUUACUGGGCGUAAAGCGUUCGUAGGCGGUUGAAUAAGCAAGAUGUGAAAGCCCAGGGCUCAACCUUGGAACUGCAUUUUGAACUGUUCGACUAGAGUACUGUAGAGGGUGGUGGAAUUUCCAGUGUAGCGGUGAAAUGCGUAGAGAUUGGAAGGAACAUCAGUGUCGAAUGCGGCCUCCUGGACAGAU